rnacentral:rRNA from 1 species
GACAGAGGGGGCAAGCGUUGUUCGGAAUUACUGGGCGUAAAGGGCGCGUAGGCGGGAUGGCAAGUCGGUCGUGAAAUCCCUCGGCUCAACUGAGGAUCGUCGAUCGAUACUGCCGUUCUUGAGGAUUGCAGAGGAGACUGGAAUUCCCGGUGUAGCGGUGAAAUGUGUAGAGAUCGGGAGGAACACCGGUGGCGAAGGCGGGUCUCUGGGCAAUUCCUGACGCUGAGGCGCGAAAGUGUGGGGAGCAAACGGG